rnacentral:rRNA from 1 species
CUACGGGAUGCAGCAGUGGGGAAUAUUGGGCAAUGGGCGCAAGCCUGACCCAGCAACGCCGCGUGAGGGAAGAAGGUUUUCGGAUUGUAAACCUCUGUCCUUGGGGACGAAGAAGUGACGGUACCCAAGGAGGAAGCUCCGGCCAACUACGUGCCAGCAGCCGCGGUAAUACGUAGGGAGCAAGCGUUGUCCGGAAUUACUGGGCGUAAAGGGUGCGUAGGCGGCAUAUUAAGUCAGGUGUGAAAUACUCGGGCUCAACCCGGGGGCUGCAUUUGAAACUGAUAUGCUUGAGUGUGAGAGAGGAAAGUGGAAUUCCUAGUGUAGCGGUGGAAUGCGUAGAUAUUAGGAGGAACACCAGUGGCGAAGGCGACUUUCUGGCUCAUAACUGACGCUGAGGCACGAAAGCGUGGGGAGCAAACAGGAUUAGAUACCCGUGUAGUC